CUUGGAAAAUACAUUAGUACAAUUGACCGGUAAAUUUUAAUUUCGUGGCUUUAUGUAUUAAAUAAAUAAUGUAUAAUAAUAUCAUUAUGUUUAAAUUUUGAUUUCAGUUUAAUGAGUAUUAUACUUUACACUCACAGAUUGUUUGGCACUUAUCUGACCUGUACAUUAUUGAAAUAGGAUAUUAUUUAUAUUUUAAUAAUACUCAGCUUGUUUUACAAAUUAAUGAAGUGUGUAUAAAUGACUCGUUUUUUAGAUCAAGUUAAUUUCAAAACAGUGGAAUUUCAAAGAAAUGGAAAAGCAAUCUGAUUUUUUCAUUUUAAAUAUUGCACUUAAAUUACCUACCAAUGAUUCUACACUCUACAUGUAGAUAUACAUAAAGUAAUAUGUUCUGUUGUUUUUAUUAAAUGUAAUUGCAAUUUUAAUACUUUGUUCCAGGCACACUACAAACACUCAAAUUGAAGUCUUAAGAUACCCAAUUAUAAUGAACCUAAAAUGGAGGUAACAUUAACUAG